GUGCUCACUUCCACAGCACAUAUACAAAAAAAUUGGAACGAUACAGAGAUUAGCAUGGCUCCUGCCCAAGGAUGACACAAACUCGUUAAGCAUUUCAUAUUUUA